rnacentral:rRNA from 1 species
CCUACGGGAGGCAGCAGUGAGGAAUAUUGGUCAAUGGGCGCAGGCCUGAACCAGCCAAGUCGCGUGAGGGAAGACUGCCCUAUGGGUUGUAAACCUCUUUUAUAAGGGACGAAUAAUGACCACGUGUAGUCUGAUGUGCGUACCUUAUGAAUAAGCAUCGGCUAACUCCGUGCCAGCAGCCGCGGUAAUAUGGAGGAUGCGAGCGUUGUCCGGAUUUAUUGGGUUUAAAGGGUGCGUAGGCGGUAUUUUAAGUUAGUGGUAAAAUGUUGGGGCUUCACCUUGAUUGGCCAUUAAAACUGGAGUACUAGAGUACAGACGAGGUAGGCGGAAUUAGUUAAGUAGCGGUGAAAUGCUUAGAUAUAACGGAGAACCCCGAUAGCGAAGGCAGCUUACCAGACUGUUACUGACGCUGAAGCACGAGAGCGUGGGUAGCGAACAGGAUUAGAUACCCUGGUAGUC